CGCACUGCAUAGAAAUCCACCGCGUAGAGAAACUCAUUCCUCCGUCACCUCUUAAGAUCGUUCCUCCGUCACCUCUUAGAUCGCAUCGCACCAGUGACUUGCUCAAGUCAAGGAAUGUUUUGAAUGAGCAUGCAAUUGAUAAUCCAAAGGAGAUUGAUUCUACAAUUAAUGAGUAGUAUUUCUCUCAUGCAGUUUCUCAUUCUCUUUUUUCUUUUUCUUUUUUUCGAAAUCAUUCUACAGUUGAAAAAUUGUGUGCGCUCUAUAAAGGUACAUGUACUGCAGUUUGCUUAUGUGCAUGUAUGUUCGAUUGUCAUAUUUGUGGUUUAUAGAUUAAGCCUCUAGUGGAACCAACGAAGCAUAUUAUAAAAGAGACUAGAAUAAAGUACUCUUGGCAUGAUUUUGUCUCUAAAAGAACUAACAUGGACUGGAAUUAGACUGGAAGAGUUUCAGCCAUCUUGCUUUGAGAAGGUUAUUGUCAUUGCUCAUUUUUUUUUUUUGCUUAGUUUUUAUUAUGAUGAUAAUAGGUUUAAACUUAAAGA